UUCUGGCCAUUCCAGCAGCCUCAAGUUUCCAUCUGUUAUUUCCUCUACCCUGAGAGUCCAUCACUGAUUUCUAUUUGGGCUUGAUUUCUAGGUGCCAGUUUGGAAAGUGGUCUUAGGAUGAAUGUCAGAUGCACUUUGUGUGUUUCUCUGCAUUGGUUGCCAUCCAAUGUCUGAAAAGAGUUGUUGUAUUUGUUCGGGGUUUAUAGCUGUUUAUGGUAGGAGGAUGAGUACAAUAUCAGGUACUGUUUUAUAGCAAGACUAGAAGCCUGGUUGGGCUUCUUAACAAGCCCUCAAAUGAGCUUUCUGUUCCCAGUCAUGCCCCUACAAUCUGUUCUCCACCCAGAACCGAGUGGUCUCACAAAAAUUUAAGCUGGAUCGUAACACUCACCCUGGCCUACCAAGUCCACCACGACCUAAGGUCUGCCUUUCUCUGCAAUCGUCAGAAUCUUUGUAACUCCUCUCCACCUUCAGCCACACCAGCCUUCUCUCUCUCUUCCUUGAAUAAGGUUCCUGCUUUAAGACUCUGCAUCAUCUAAUAGAGCACAUGAUGUAUUCUUUCCCCCCAUUAUCUCGUGGUUGAUUCAUUAUUGCCAUUCAAAUCUCAGCACAGACAUCACCUUCCCUGACCAGCCAAUUUAAGCAGCCCCCAAGACAUGUCCCAUCCCUGUUUUAUUCUCUUCAUAGGACUUCACCACUAACUGUUCAUUUCUGAGCUAUUUUCAGAAACUUUUCUUGUUCAUUUUUGUGUCAAUUUUCAGUCCCCUUCCACUACAGUGUAACUCCAUGAAAGCAGGAAGCUAGCCUGAAUUGUUCACUGCUGUAACCUCAGAGCAGUGCCUGGCACAAUACAGAUUCUUGAUCAAAUCAAAAUGUUUCAAUGAAUGAGUAAACCUGGACAGAUCCAAGGCUGGGGCUACCUGUCAUGUUGUAACAAGCAUGUUAAUUAACAGGAAUUUGUUUUGGCUGCCAUUUGUGUGGCUUCAAAUUUGGAAGGAAGCUCUAAAAACGAUAUUGCCUUCCUUGGUCUGGAAUUAAGCAACACUUUUUUGUGUGUGAGUUUGCCGUGUGUCAUGACAUUAUUUUGAGUGUCUGCUAUGUGUCUUCACCAGAAAAGAUGUUAAGAGCACAGCCUUUGGAGUGAAACCAGACUGGAUAUCAAUCUUGUUUUGCCACAUUCUAGCUAUGUCAUUUGGGACAAGUUAAUCUAAGCCUCAGUUUCCCCAUCUGUGAAAUAGGAUGAUAAUAAUCCUUAUCUCCGAAGAGUUUUGUGGAGGCUAAAUUAAAUAAUGUGUGUAAUUUAUUUAGAAUUGUAUUUUGUCACUGCAUUUGGAAUGUUCCAAAUAUAAUUAGUGUUAUCCUUAAGUAUUAUUAGUUUAUGUGAUGGCAGUAUUUUGUGGGAUGAACAGAAGAAGUGCUGGGGUGGUGAGAGAUAAAGCACUAUGCCUAAAGGCACAUUUUCCAGAAAGAUUUCCCCAUAACCACCUGCUCUGGUUACUUCUUUGCUUCAUGCAUUCAUCACAUACAUAUGGCAUGUUGGUACUUGGCUCUUCCUAGAUGUUAUUUUUUCUUUUCCUUAAACUUCAUCAUUGGUGCUGCCAUGCCCUUCUCUCUUUUUAAGAAUUAAGAAAUGUUCAGUUUAAUGAUAUAUUCUCUUCUAUCCUAGUUCCCUCUUCCACUAGCAACUGUUCUAAAAUAUUUAAUGUGUAUUGCUUAGCUUUUAAGUAUUCUUGUAAAAUGUGUACUAGUCUGUUUGCAUGUACUCCUGUGUUGUUAUUUAUCACUCUGUUUCUCACAUUUGUUUCACCAAGCACCAUUGUUUAUUUAUUUUUUAUUUUUUGCUUUGCACACGUUGCUAUGCACCUAUCUACUCUGUGUUUCUUAAGGAUGCUCCGAGGUGGGAAUUUAUGCAUUUUACCUAUUCAAUCCCCCACUGAUUCCCAGAGUACCUUCAGUUCCCCACCAGCAACGGCAAAGAAAGCCCCCGUGCACAUCGCUUUGUAGCUUGUGUUGGAAAUUUCUUUAGGCUAUGUUUCAAGGAGUGGAAUUAUUAAGAUAGAGAAUGAAACUGUAUGUUCCUUGUUAAUGGUUCUUCAGUAUCUCCUUCUGGGUAUGUGUUGUAUAUCCCUAAUUAGCUUGUGAGCGAUGGGGUCAAAUUUUAGACCUUAAAACAAAAAAUAGCAAAGAGAAAUCAGGUCCAACACUGGGAUAAGUAGAGACUCAAAGUGGCAUGUGGAACACAAGAAGAAUCAUUCCACUUCUGUGUGACUAUAGAAAUACAAGUAGGGAAAUUAUGCCACUUACUUGCUAUUUUUAUAGCCCAUCCACAAGAGGAUUUGCUGGCAUGACUUGUACGGCAUGUGGAGAGUCCAAAACACAAUUAUCCAAAAGAAGAAGAAAUUAACACCAGAAAGAAUCCAGGAACAAAUGGGUUGUGACUGGUUGGUGUACACCCCUCACAAGGCAGAGGGGGCAUGAUCUUGUACUCGGUUUUAACACUUUAUUCUAAUCUGCAAUCCUAUAGAGUCAUAAAAUCACCAGUGUCCAAGAAGCUGCAGAGGACAAAGGGAAUUCAGCUCUAGAGCCUAAACGUCUUCUGUUCUCAGAAGCUGCCUCUGAGAUCCCUGAUUCUGCCGGACAGAGGAAUCUUCCAUUUUUCUGCUCUCCAUAGCACGGACUAGCCCUAUUACAGAGAACAUUACAACAUUACAUUACUCAUAUCAAAACCCUAUCAGUGAGUGGGAAGUGACAAUUAAACUGCACCUUGCGGACUAGACUGGGCAUAAGCAACACACUUCGGGUGUCACUGUCUCCCAUCGCCCCCAGAUGGGACCAUCUAGUUGCAGGAAAACAAGGUCCGGGCUCCCACUGAUUCUGCAUUAUGGAUUUGUAACAAAACGUGUUCAACAAGUUGAAUGAAAGAAAGAAAGCAAAAAAGAAAGAAAGGAAGGAAGAAAGAAAGGAAGGAAGGAAGGAAGAAGAAAAAGAGAGAGAGAGAAAGAAAGAAAGAAAGAAAGAAGAAAAGAAAGGAGAAAAGGAGGGAAGGAGGGAAGAAAAGAAUCAGACAUUUCCCUUUGUCCCUUACUGUGGGGAUUACUCCAUUUGUAGAGAAGUGAGUUAUUGUAAACUUCAAGUGCGCACUUGGGGAUCUACGCUUCUGAGAAGAUCUGAGCUCUUCCCAUAAAGAGCUAAAAGGGACGUGUGACAAGACCAGUGAACGCUGGGACUGAAUGACUUGAAAGAGAUAUCUUUCUGCUUUAAUUUUUUUCUCCACCCACUAACUCCACAUUUAAGAAAAAAAGUCUUUUUUUUUUUUUUUUGAGACUAUACCAGACUAGUUAAUAGAACAGGAUAAUUCUGGAUACAAGGCUCUGCAAAAUCGGAGCAUAUAAUGAGAGACAUUUGAAUGGAUGUCAUUGUCUUUCACAAAGCGUGCUUUUGUCUCAUUGUUUGCACCUAAGACUUCUUGCAAAACAACGGGCUUUGAAAGUGCAAGAUAUGCUGCUUAACUCUUGACGAGCUGACAGACAUCACACGUUUUCCAGGAGGAUUGUGACUGGAGCUUCAAUCAUAUUUCUCCCCCCCAGUUUCUGUGCAGUAAGUGUGACAAUUAGAACUAUUAGCUGACUAUCCUCACCCAGUUCCAGUCGUGCCAGAAGGAACUAAAAAUGCCCUGUAGUCAAACUGUAGACGGUCCUGCUUCUGAGGAGCCUGGGCUGAGGGUAGCUAGGGGCGAUAAUAUCACCCACAGAAACAACAGCCAGACUCCCCCCAAAACCAUUUCAUGAAACUUCCUUCAUCUGAAAAGACUGAGACCUUUUACGAUACUACACUUUGGGUGAAACAAACAACAAAAAAAGGCCAUUUCUAAAAAUAGCCAGCUUUUGUAGACUAUAUUUAGUCAUGUUUCUACUUGGUAAAAAUAUCAGAAUGCAUUUUGGCAGAAAUUUUCACCGUGCUUUUUUUUUUUCUUUCACUUCCUCUUAUUUAAACUUCUCUGAUGACACAAACAUUAAGGAUAUGAUCAGAAAACCCGAGGAGCUCUUCUCGGGUCAUGUGGCUAUUCACUUAACAAAAAUUUAUUGAGGACAAGCCUCUGCUUUGAAUCCGUUUUCUUUACAGUCUUUUGUUCUUGGAGUUCUCCAGGGAAUCUCCACACGGAAGGAAAAAAGGUGGCUGGACUCUAACGCGUUAUAGGGCGGUGCAUAUGAAACAAAGCAGUUCAUCCAAGUACCUGUUUUGCAGGGUUCCUGUGAGCUUGGAAUGCCACGAUACAUGUGCAGCAUUUAAUCAGAGUUUGGCAAGAGGGUGCUGUAACCAAAAAUCCAAGUUGAACUUCACUGUCAAUUAAGGAACACUAUCCCUCCUAAGUAAAAGCUGUUAUCAUAGGGAGGGAUUUUAUAUCAAAAUGUUUUUCAUAAGCAUUUGGAGCCUCAGGACCUGAUGUUGGAAGCUGCAAAGUGAAUUCCUACACACCCCCCCCCCAGAGGGGUACAGCCUCAGACAGAUCUGGAGGUCAGAAGUCUGAAAGCAGUUUUCCAGAGUAAAAUCAAGUUGUCAGCAGGGCAGUGAUCUUUCUCAAGGAUCCAGGGGAGAAUCUGUUUCCUGCCUUUUCCAGCUUCUUAUGGCCGCCUGUAUUCCUUGGCUUGUGGGCCUGCAUCACUGUGACCUCUCAUAAGAACCUCGCAGUCUGAAACGAGCUAGGGGAUGAGCAGCCAGCUUGGAGGAGGUCAGCAGGAGGCUGCAGAUAGAGAACUCCAGAGGCUGCGGCAGCCGUGAAGGACAGAGACCCGUGGAAGAGUCAUCAUGAUCAAGCCUUUGGGAAAUAAACCUAGAGGAAAAUGUGCCAUUCCAAAGUGAAAUCAAGAUCCUUGCAUUAUCUUACUUCCAAACUGAUCCUAAGACUUAAGUAGGGUUUCCAUCUGGAGGCACAAAGGAGAAGCAGGGAUUGCCAUUCGGUCAAGCUGGGUUUGAUAGAAGGCACUAGGGAAGCACGUGUCUAGACAAUUACAUGGGAUACCUGCCCCCAUGUUGGCUGCAUUGCUGUUGAACCACCUGCCUCAUUGUCUGGACUACCUCUGUCUUUGCCUGUGUCAGGCCAGCCUCGCCUUCGGGAUGGGCCCUGUGUAGCUGAACGUCGGCUGAGCCAGGCCUCUGGGGACUUCCUGCCUGUCCCAGCUGGGUGGGCAUCUUUGCAUCUUGUUCUACCUCGCCAAAGAAUUUGCACUAGAACCCGGGGGCCCUGUGAGUCCCCUUCUGUGGCGGAGCUGGGGUGAGACACUGUACACGGUUAAAGAAUGUGCUCACCACUUACAGAGCGACACAAAUGGUAGGCUUUCAAUCAGAGAGACCCUCAUGCAAAUUCCAUGGCUUGGGUAAAUCACUUCCCCUUUCUAAUCCUCAGUCUCUUCAUCUGAAGGUCGAGAUCAUGAUGACAUAUAUCUCUGUUAGCCAUUGUCAGAGUAAAGGAGGUCAUCUGUAGUAAGUGUAUAACACAGUGCUUUCUGUGUGCUCAAUAUGCAUUAAUAUUAAUAAUAUAAUUAAUUUGGGUUCAGGGUGCUCGUUUCUAGAGUUAGGCAGGCUGGGUCACACCCCAAAAAUGCCCUUCUUUGCAAUGAGACUGUUACACACUGCAUUUUGGGAGAAAUUAGCUCACCACCUCUGAGUCUCUGAUUUCCUAUUAACAGCACUUACCCUGUAACUGGUCGCAACUGAAAGUGACCGAGAUGUUACAUAGCCUGAGGAUUUGGUUUUGAGGCACAGAGCAGGAGCCCUGGAAUUUUCCUUCUAGGAUCCCGGGCAGCCCUGCUUACUCAGAAGGAUGGCAACUACUUAGUAUUCAAAUGGUGGGCAGCCCCGUUAAGCAUCUCCGUCAUUCACUAAUUCUACUUAAUUCAGUAGAAGGUCCCACAGCAGGUAUGUCUAUGCAGAUAGAGCAGCCUCUGGUGAGGUUGGAGAGCACAGAGAAAACUCCAGAUAAUCAGACACACUGAAACUGAUACCACGACACAGGAGACACAGGAGUUGUGGGAUGACUCAUCCCGGCCUGGUGUAGGAAACUCCGCUUGUCACCGCCCUGGAUCGUCAUUGGUAAGGGGACCCUGGAAGGCUGUGCUUGCACUGCCACCUAGUGGUUACAAAAAGCAAGACAGUCUGGGAAGGAUUCUGGACCCACAGACAGACCCACUGGGGCAAUGAUCACCGAGAACCAACAUCCUCCUCACAGAAAUUUUAUAAGUUGAACUUUUUAUUCACAGAUUUACAACCCAAUUUCCUAAUUUAAUUUGAUUUAAUUUGAUCACCCCGACCAAAGCACUGAAACGCUGUGAGAUUCAAGGUAGGGGCAAAAGCACCAGCCUAGGAGUCUAAAGGCUCAUUUGAGUCACUAGCUCACUGUUCAGAAUUGGGGAAAUGGCUUAAAUCUUCCAUUUUCUCUUAGAAAAAUGGAAUCUAACAAUACCCAGGGUUUAGGCGGCUGUGAGGUCUGAGUGUGAAGCCCCUUUGUAAACCAUAUGGUGUUCUUCCCUUUCUAGCAUCCUGCUUCUGCUUCCCUGGGAUUCUGCCUCUCUGCACUCCAAUGCCCACAUCCCCAUUUCAGUAAAACCGAUCAGCCAACCCCUCUUCUCCCGCAGGAAGUGGAGGACCCCUCUCCCUUAGUAGUGCUGAAAAUAGAAAGCACAGAAAAACCAAAGAAAAACAAAAAAUGGGAAAGAUCCAGCCCCGGAUGUGCUUAUGGGACAGUUAACAAUGAAAAGAGUCAAGGGAGACCCCUGCCAUUCACAGCCUGCAUUUACCAGGAGAAAACUUCAUUCAGAGGACAACACACACCCUGAGCAUCUUCUGACUCUCCUGAGAGGACUCUUGUCAUGAUUUGCUGAAGUAAAGAGGAAAAGCUCUCCAGCAGCUACUAGACACAAGCGCUACUGGUUCAUGUACAUACAUUGUGCCAUUUACUCCCCAAAGCCAUCCUGAGAGACAGGUGCGCGCCCCGCACUGCAGAGGGAAGCUGAGCUAGGAGACAUUCGGUCAUGCCCUCAAGGCCCCAGAGGUAGAGUCUGCCUGCUUCUAAAGCCCCAGACUAAUCGUACAAAUUCACAAUAGUUAACUUUUGAUAGUAAUAUAAAAUAAGUUGACAUUUAUGGAGUGCUUAAUCUUUAUAAAGGCUUUACUGCUGCCAUUUGUUCCUCACAAAAGC